rnacentral:miRNA from 14 species
UCAUUUUUGUGAUUGGUGCAAUU